GAUGAACGCUAGCGAGACGCUUAACACAUGCAAGUCGAAUGCUGAUUUAUCAGCAUGGCAGACGGGUGAGUAACACGUGCUUAAUUUGCCCCGGAGUGGGGGACAACAUCGGAAACGGUGAUAAUCCCGCAUACGUUCCACAAAAUGAAAAUAUGUGGAAGAAAGAUUUAUCGCUCUGGGAGGAGGGCGCGUCUGACUAGUUAGUUGGUGAGGUAAUGGCUCACCAAGACGAUGAUCAGUAGCUGGUCUGAGAGGACGAACAGCCACAAUGGGACUGAGACAAGGCCCAUACCCCUACGGGGGGCAGCAGUGGGGAAUCUUGCGCAAUGGACGAAAGUCUGACGCAGCGAUCUCGCGUGAAGGAUGAAGCUUUGCGGAGUGUAAACUUCUUUCUGGGAGAAAACAACUGAUGGUAUCUACAGGAAUAAGGGACGGCUAACUACGUGCCAGCAGCCGCGGUAAU
rnacentral:rRNA from 1 species